UACGAAGGGUGCAAGCGUUACUCGGAAUUACUGGGCGUAAAGCGUGCGUAGGUGGUUCGUUAAGUCUGUCGUGAAAGCCCCGGGCUCAACCUGGGAAUGGCGAUGGAUACUGGCGGGCUAGAGUGCGGUAGAGGAGAGUGGAAUUCCCGGUGUAGCGGUGAAAUGCGCAGAUAUCGGGAAGAACACCCGUGGCGAAGGCGGCUCUCUGGGACGGUACUGACGCUGAGACGCGAAAGCGUGGGGAGCGAACAGG
rnacentral:rRNA from 1 species